AUCCCUGUAGCACAAUGGAUAGCGCGUUGGAAUACUAAUCCAAAGGUAGUGGGCUCGAAUUCUACAUGGGAUG